UGUCUUCUGGGGUGUUCGAGAGCUGGUUAAGUCCCUCGAGCCUAUAUCUUUCUACAUGGGUGCGUCCCUCUGGUGUUGUGUGCAUGUCCGCUCGACGGAAAGCCUGAUAUAUCGGAAAACGCGCCCUCUCUGAACCUCACGGUUCAGGGCCAGAAUCAGUAAACGGCACUCUGGGAGACCC
rnacentral:other from 1 species